GCGGGGCAUGGUGGUGCAUGCCUGUAAUCCCGGCUACUUGGGAGGCUGAGGUAGGAGAAUUGCUUGAACCUGGGAGGCAGGGGUUGCAGUGAGCCGAGAUUGUGCCACUGCACUCCAGCCUAGGUGACAGAGUGAGACUCUAUCUCAA
rnacentral:sRNA from 1 species